AAUGAGUUCAAUAUACCCAAGCAGGUGGUGUCCCCCGUCCUCCCUGUGGCUGGUCUGAAAGCCUCGCUCUUCAGCCUCAUCGCCACCCUCACCCUCAGCUCCCUGAAUUCAGCUCUGCCUUUGGGUUAAGGAGAGAAACAGGAUAAUUUGGAAGGACUUUGUGGAGUUUGCUAAGGACAGUGCAAGGUGAGAGGAAGUGAAAGGUUGUUAUUAGUUUUAAGUGCCUAUUAAGUGUAGAGUAACUGAUUCUUCAGACUCUUACAGGAAUUGAAAAGACCAGAUAACAUGAAUGUUCACUACAGAUGUCCCAUAAAAGUCAGAUGUUGAAAAAUGAAUCAAGCUUUGAGGGGAAAAAAGAGCACAGAUGUGUCACCGCCUAGCAAUGGCUCCAGGUGGAGAGCAGCAGGGCUGAACCACCUGUGGGUUAUGAUGCUGUGACAGAGGAAGCCUCAGGAACAAAUGCUGAAAUUUUGAAAACAGAAUUUGGCAUCCUUGGUGGGCCCACUGGCCCCCCAGUGGUGUGGCAGCCCCUAUUGCCAGAAGAGGCAGGGAGCAGCCCUGGGUCAAAGCAACUUUUUGAGGAGGACCUGGCUGCUUUCUCCAUCUCAUUGUUGUUCAAACAGCUUGCAGCAGGGAGUGAUAACCAUGGCAGCAAAGGCCAUGAACUUCUGGAAGUCACAUUCACCA